AAUAAAAUAUACAUACAUACAACGACAUAAAAGAUUAGUAUAAUAAUAAUAGGUUGACAGUAGUGGUAUAUCAUAUAACAAGCAAAAGCGAGAAGUCGAUUUUCUUCUUUCCUUGAGCCAAUCGUCAUUCAACUAUACCAAACAGGAAUUAGGGUUUAUUUCAGUUCAAAUAUUAUAAUCGAAGACGAAGCCUUGUGGUCAAUUUGCUAAACCCUAAUUCCUAAGUUGAAUUCCUUUUUCGUAUUUGAUUGGUGCUAUUUAUUGGAUUCCAGAAUUAACUUAUUGGAUCUCUCUGUUUCAGCGAAUGUGGACAUCAUUGCUUAAGUACAACUUGCCUCCUUACUUACCUAAAAGAGAAAGAACCUUCUACAUCUUGUAGUGCUGAACAUGGAGAGAUAAUGCUAUACUCACGUGCUUGUUGCUAAUUAAUGGAUCCUGAUAGCAAGAGUUUUGGAAGAGGGCCCAGAGAACUUACAGGUGCUGUGGAUCUUAUUAAUCACUUCAAAUUGUUGCCUCAUCACGAGUUCUUCUGCAAGAAGCCACUUCCAUUGUCUAUUUCAGAUACCCACUAUCUUCACAAUGUUGUGGGGGACACAGAAAUUAGGAAAGGAGAAGGGAUGCAGUUGGAUCAGCUUAUACAGGAUACUGCCUUGUCAAGAGAGACGAGUUCCCGCAUCCAGCCAUUUGACUUAGAUGUUCUUGGAGAAGCUUUUCAACUACGUGAAGCGGCUCCAGUUGAUCUGCCUCCUUCUGAGAAAGGCAUCCCUACCGUAGCUGGAAAAUCCAAAAGUGAGUCAAAAGACAAGGAGAAGAAGCAUAAAAAGCACAAAAAUAAGGACAGGGAGAAGGACAAAGAGCAUAAGAAGCACAAACAUCGUCAUAAAGAUCGAAGUAAAGACAAGGAUAAAGAUAAAAAGAGAGAUAAAAGUGGUCAUCAUGAUUCUGGUGCUGAUCAUUCGAAGAAACAUCACGAGAAGAAAAGGAAGCAUGAUGGAGAGGAGGAACUUAAUGACGUUCACAAACACAAGAGAAGCAAGCACAAGAACUCAAAGAUUGAUGAGAUUGGUGCAAUAAAGGUAGCAGGCUGAAAUAUGCGUGGGGGGUUCUAUCGUUUGUUUAUCCUCAGACUCUGCAAUUGAGAAUUUGGAGGGAUCCUUUACUUAGUAUUAUGAAAAAUCAGAGGUACAGAAGUUAAUGUCCUGCUAUAUCCCAUUAAUUGAAGAACUUUAUUGGCAUGCCCUAUUGCUUCAAUCUAUAUAUUUCACAUGGGCAAGAUUGUUCCAUUGAGCUCACAGCUUGGUCAGAUGGCACCAGGAUUUUGUGCAUAGAUGUUUCUUUAUGUUAGUGAAACGUUGUUUUCCUUUUUCGAAAUUACCAAGUCAAAUAACAGACACAUUCAACUAUCUUUACUGUGUUAAAGGAGCAGCAUAUGAAGAAACAGGCUGGUUUGUACUCCCUUAAGUGCAAACAGAGGUAGUCCUUUGACUGUUAAUCUAAAAAUCAAAUGCCAGCCAAGGAAAAGAAAAGAUGGAAUUGGAUGGUAAUGUAUAAUUUGUUUUCAGUUAUUGUAGAAAGGCUAAACAAGAGACUAUGAUAUUGAACUAUUGUGUCCAACAAAAGAUGCACUUAUGUUUUCAGAUGUCCCUGAAGGGACUCCAAAAUGCACAUUUCGGAUUAAGAAAAGCAGCUACCUGUUCAGUCUCUGGAAUUUUGUAUAUAAGGUGUAGAAAGGUUAAACAAGACAGUUUGGAGAGUGCUCCUACAUUUGAAUAUUAAUUGGUUGGAUUUGAUAAAGCGGCUUCCUGUUCAGUCUCUGCACCAUUCUGAAUUUUCACCUUUUAACAGAAUUGCCUUUGGACAUACUAAAGAUUGCCAAGAAGGUGUAUUCACUUGAAGUAUAUUUUAGUGCAUGGUACAACUGCUGAAAAAGCACUUCUUUGGGUUAUAUAAAAAGAACUUCCUAGUUGGCAACUUGGCAUUGAAACUGAAAACCUUGAUCCUUUCAUUCAGCUUUAGUGACUUAGUGUGUUGUGGUCAUUUGUGUGCUCCUCUUCUUUCAACGACUCUAAUCUUGGUCGAGCUUAGUGUUAAGCAGCAGCUUUGUGUAACAACAAGAGAAGGUUUGAUACGAGUGUUGGAGUGGUCUUUUAUGAUUUGUCCUUUCCAUUGAGCUUGAAGGUAAUCCCCUCAUCAGCGCUCAAAAACAUCCAACAUAGGAGGGGAAGAUGCUUAAAAGGAUGUCUAUAUGUGUCACGCUAGGAAUUCUACUCGUCGUGGCAAGAUAUUGUUGUUGUAUAUACUAGGCUAGAAUGAGAUCAAAUAAUCAUUAGACAUGAAAUCAUGGUAAUAUAUGUACACAUGUUUUGCUGAA